rnacentral:rRNA from 1 species
AUUGAACGCUGGCGGCAGGCUUAACACAUGCAAGUCGAGCGAGCGGAGGACGGGUGAGUAAUGUCUGGGAAACUGCCUGAUGGAGGGGGAUAACUACUGGAAACGGUAGCUAAUACCGCAUACCAUCAGAUGUGCCCAGAUGUGAUUAGCUAGUAGGGUGGGUAAGGGCUAACAUAGGCGACGAUCCCUGGCUGGUCGGAGAGGAUGACCAGCCACACUGGACAUGAGACACGGUCCAGACUCCUACGGGAGGCAGCAGUGGGGAAUAUUGCACAAUGGGCGCAAGCCUGAUGCAGCCAUGCCUCGGGUGUGAAGAAGGCCUUCGGGUUGUAAAGCACUUUCAGCGAGGAGGCGUUACUCGCAGAAGAAGCACCGGCUAACUCCGUGCCAGCAGCCGCGGUAAUAC